ensembl:misc_RNA 7SK 7SK RNA
AGAUGUGAGUGCCAUCUGGCUGUGACGUCUGUCAUCUCAUUGGUCCCCAGGGUUGAUUCGGCUGAUCUGGCUGGCCAGGCGGAUGUCCUCGUCCUCCCUCACUGCUCUGUGGGCAUCCCUCCUGAGGCUACAUGCUGUGCUCACGUGAAGAGCAUGACCUUCCUUGAUAAAGCAGUGCCGUUCUUCACUCAUGACUAUACAAGUAGCUUGCUCCCCUGCUACAAUCUCUAAACAAGCUCUCAAAGUUAACAUAAAUGUACUGUCUGUUCCAGCUCCUUCUAGACUUUUUCAGACUCUAAAAGGAAUAUUUAACUCUUU